GAUGAACGCUGGCGGCGUGCCUAAUACAUGCAAGUCGAGCGAACAGACGAGGAGCUUGCUCCUCUGACGUUAGCGGCGGACGGGUGAGUAACACGUGGAUAACCUACCUAUAAGACUGGGAUAACUUCGGGAAACCGGAGCUAAUACCGGAUAAUAUAUUGAACCGCAUGGUUCAAUAGUGAAAGACGGUUUUGCUGUCACUUAUAGAUGGAUCCGCGCCGCAUUAGCUAGUUGGUAAGGUAACGGCUUACCAAGGCGACGAUGCGUAGCCGACCUGAGAGGGUGAUCGGCCACACUGGAACUGAGACACGGUCCAGACUCCUACGGGAGGCAGCAGUAGGGAAUCUUCCGCAAUGGGCGAAAGCCUGACGGAGCAACGCCGCGUGAGUGAUGAAGGUCUUCGGAUCGUAAAACUCUGUUAUUAGGGAAGAACAAAUGUGGAAGUAACUCUGCACGUCUUGACGGUACCUAAUCAGAAAGCCACGGCUAACUACGUG
rnacentral:rRNA from 1 species